UACGUAGGGGGCAAGCGUUGUCCGGAUUUAUUGGGCGUAAAGAGCGUGUAGGCGGCCAUACAGGUCAGCUGUGAAAACUCGAGGCUCAACCUCGAGACGUCGGUUGAAACCGUAUGGCUAGAGUCCGGAAGAGGAGAGUGGAAUUCCCGGUGUAGCGGUGAAAUGCGUAGAGAUCGGGAGGAACACCAGUGGCGAAGGCGGCCUCUGGACCAAUACUGACGCUCAUGCACGAAAGCGUGGGGAGCAAACAGG
rnacentral:rRNA from 1 species